GAUGAACGCUGGCGGCGUGCCUAAUACAUGCAAGUCGAGCGAAUCUAAGGGAGCUUGCUCCCAAAGAUUAGCGGCGGACGGGUGAGUAACACGUGGGCAACCUACCUGUAAGACUGGGAUAACUUCGGGAAACCGGAGCUAAUACCGGAUAACAUAUGAGACCACAUGGUCUUAUAUUAAAAGAUGGCUUCUUGCUAUCACUUACGGAUGGGCCCGCGGCGCAUUAGCUAGUUGGUGAGGUAACGGCUCACCAAGGCAACGAUGCGUAGCCGACCUGAGAGGGUGAUCGGCCACACUGGGACUGAGACACGGCCCAGACUCCUACGGGAGGCAGCAGUAGGGAAUCUUCCGCAAUGGACGAAAGUCUGACGGAGCAACGCCGCGUGAGCGAAGAAGGUCUUCGGAUCGUAAAGCUCUGUUGUUAGGGAAGAACAAGUAUCGUUCGAAUAGGGCGGUACCUUGACGGUACCUAACCAGAAAGCCACGGCUAACUAC
rnacentral:rRNA from 1 species